ACGAAAGCCUGGUCGGCGUGUCAACUGUACUCUGCCGGCGUCUCUUGAUAGAAUCGCUUAACACACACUCCAUCCUUUCAUAGCAGAUUUGAGGCCUGAGCCAGCCAUCGUAACCACAAGAUAUGAAGUUUUUCUUUUGCUGGUAUUGGCCGGUCAUCAGCUUCAAUCUCAGCAUCAUCACUUUGGGAUUGGAUAAACAGCAUCCCGUUUGGAGAAACUACCGAUGUCGGUCGAAUUCUUCUUAAUUUGUACACCUUCUCGUUUAUUAAGUAA